rnacentral:rRNA from 1 species
CCUACGGCGGCAGCAGUGGGGGAUAUUGCACAAUGGGGGGAACCCUGAUGCAGCGACGCCGCGUGGGUGAAGAAGCGCCUCGGCGCGUAAAGCCCUGUCAGCAGGGAAGAAAAUGACGGUACCUGAAGAAGAAGCCCCGGCUAACUACGUGCCAGCAGCCGCGGUAAUACGGAGGGGGCAAGCGUUAUCCGGGUUUACUGGGUGUAAAGGGGGCGCAGACGGCGAUGCAAGCCAGGAGUGAAAGCCCGGGGCCCAACCCCGGGACUGCUCUUGGAACUGCGGGGCUGGAGUGCAGGAGGGGCAGGCGGAAUUCCUGGUGUAGCGGUGAAAUGCGUAGAUAUCAGGAGGAACACCGGUGGCGAAGGCGGCCUGCUGGACUGCAACUGACGUUGAGACCCGAAAGCGUGGGGAGCAAACAGGAUUAGAUACCCGUGUAGUC